rnacentral:rRNA from 1 species
CUCUUCGGGGAUGAUUAAACCGGCGCACGGGUGAGUAACACGUGAGUGACCUGCCUUUUAGACUGGAACAACUUACCGAAAGGUGAGCUAAUGCCGGAUGAGUUAUAUAAGUGCAUGUUUAUAUAGGAAAAGUUGGGGAGACCUGACGCUGAAAGAUGGACUCGCGUCCCAUUAGCUAGUUGGUAGGGUAAUGGCCUACCAAGGCGACGAUGGGUAGCCGGCCUGAGAGGGUGGCCGGCCACACUGGGACUGAGACACGGCCCAGACUCCUACGGGAGGCAGCAGUGGGGAAUUUUGCGCAAUGCUCGUAAGAGUGACGCAGCGACGCCGCGUGAAUGACGAAGGCCUUCGGGUCGUAAAGUUCUUUCGACAGGGAAGAAAAUGCCUAUAAGUAACUGUGUAUGUAUUGACGGUACCUGUAUAAGCAGCCCCGGCUAACUCCGUGCCAGCAGCCGCGGUAAUACGGAGGGGGCGAGCGUUGUUCGGAGUGACUGGGCGUAAAGAGCACGUAGGCGGUGUUGUAAGUCGUUAGUCAAAGACUAGAGCUCAACUUUAGUAAGGCUAGUGAUACUAUAAUACUAGAGUAUCAGAGAGGAUUGCAGAAUUCCUGGUGUAGCGGUGAAAUGCGUAGAUAUCAGGAGGAAUACCGUUAGCGAAGGCGGCAAUCUGGCUGGAAACUGACGCUGAGGUGCGAAAGCGUGGGUAGCAAACAGGAUUAGAUACCCUGGUAGUCCACGCUGUAAACGAUGGAUGCUAGGUGUUGGGCUUUUAAGUUCAGUGCCGCAGCAAACGCGAUAAGCAUCCCGCC